rnacentral:rRNA from 1 species
GACGAACGCUGGCGGCGUGCCUAAUACAUGCAAGUAGAACGCUGAAACUUGGUGCUUGCACCGAGCGGAUGAGUUGCGAACGGGUGAGUAACGCGUAGGUAACCUGCCUGGUAGCGGGGGAUAACUAUUGGAAACGAUAGCUAAUACCGCAUAAGAGUAGAUGUUGCAUGACAUUUGCUUAAAAGGUGCAAUUGCACCACUACCAGAUGGACCUGCGUUGUAUUAGCUAGUUGGUGGGGUAACGGCUCACCAAGGCGACGAUACAUAGCCGACCUGAGAGGGGGAUCGGCCACACUGGGACUGAGACACGGCCCAGACUCCUACGGGAGGCAGCAGUAGGGAAUCUUCGGCAAUGGACGGAAGUCUGACCGAGCAACGCCGCGUGAGUGAAGAAGGUUUUCGGAUCGUAAAGCUCUGUUGUAAGAGAAGAACGAGUGUGAGAGUGGAAAGUUCACACUGUGACGGUAUCUUACCAGAAAGGGACGGCUAACUACGUG